AUGAGAAAACAGGCUUGGAGAGGUGGAGUCCGUCACCCAAAGAAAGGAAGCCAGCAGGUGGCAGAGCCCGGAUGCUCACCUGGGUGGAGGGACUCCAGGGCACCUCCCUUGAAGCACCUGGAUGGAGCUGGGGUGGCUGUGCCCCUGCCGUGUGAGGAGGACCCCCAUAGAAGAGACAAGUCCAUCGUCAUGUCCGUCGGAUUCUGUGAGCCCUGGGCCUGGGUGAGGAGGCAGCUGAGUGGGAGCCGGGAGGUCUCUGGCCCCUGCCUAUGGGGCGGGCUCUGGACUCUGGGGAGCAGUCAGGGUGGAGGCCGAGGGCCAGAACUGGAGGAGGAUGGGAGCCCCUGCUGCUCCCCGAGGAGACCGAGACCGGGGCUGACCAGAAGUAUGCUCCUUCCCCUCGAACCGGUGUUCCCCCACCCACUCAAAUUCCCCACCUUCCUGCCUCUGACCCCCACCCCAGCUCCAGCCCCCACCUGCCCCAGAGACACAGAGAUUACCGCUCAGGAGCAUUUGAAUUCACACCCCACCCUCGUCCAGGUCAUUUGUCUUCAAAGGGGCUUGUUUGGUCUCCUCUCUGUGUCUGUGCCGCCUUAGUGACAGCCACACGGUGAGCAGGAGGAAGCAGCAGUCACCUGCCUGGACCGACUCUGAGAGGUGCCCAGAUAGGCCACCUGUCCCCAGACUCCCCUCCCUCGCAGCCUGUCUCAGAGCCUGACCAUGAGGGUAACAUCAGAGAAUGUUCGAGUUUGGAGAGUGGAAAGAGCAUAACCUUCUGCCUGAAGCCCCAGUCCCUCCGGUUUGGGGAAAAGAGAGCUGACCCCAGGUGGUGGUGCCACAUUUGUUCAGGCCACGUUUGUCUCACUUCACAACUUGGCCACCAGCGAGCUCAGCACUGUGGAGUGGGGGCUGGGAGUGCCCGCUCUGGAGCCAGACUGCCAGGGUUGGUGUUUCUGCCCGUUAAAAAUCUGAAAACCUGUGCCUCAGUUUCUUCCCCUGUAAAAUGCAGUUAAUCGUGGUGCCUCCCCAAAGGGUUGGAGACAAAGCAUUUAGAGCAGAACCUGUGCAUGGGAGCUGAUGAUAUGUACAAUGGAAUACCGCUCAGCUAUAAAAAAGAUGAAAUCAUGCCAUUUGACACAGCUAUCCCACUACUGGGUAUUUAUCCAAAGAACAUGAAAUCAACAAUUCAAAGAGACCUGUAGAUAAUGUUCAUCACAGCACUAUUCACAAUGGCCAAGAUGUGGAAGCAACCCAUGUGCACAUCAGUGGGUGAACGGAUAAAGAAGAGGUGGUAUAUAUAUAUAUAUAUAUAUAUAUAUAUAUAUACACACACAAUGGAAUACUACUCAGCCAUAAAAAAGACAAAAUUGUACCAUUUGCAACAACAUGGAUGGACCUCGAGGGUAUUAUGCUGAGCAAAAUAAGUCAGACAGAGAAAGACAAACCCUGUAUGAUUUCUCUCAUAUGUGGAAGAUAAACCAACACAUGGUUACCGGAGGGGAAGGGGGUCGGGGGAGGGCGACAGGAGUAAAGGAGCAUAUAUGUAUGGUGACUUAUAAAUACUAGACUAUUGGUGGUGAGCUCAAUGCAGCCUCUACAGAAACGGAAAUAUAAUAAUGUACACCUGAAAUUCACACAAUGUUAUAAACCAAUGUGACCUCAGUAAAAUAAUAAUAAUAAAACAAACAAACAAAAUAUCA
rnacentral:lncRNA from 1 species